UUUCCGUAGGUGAACCUGCGGAAGGAUCAUUAAAGAGUAUUAAGGGUAUUAUGUAUUCUCUCUUGAACACAUCAAUACCUUUCUUCUUUUUACCCCAUAUAUAUUUCUAUCUUUAGUUGCUUUGGUAAUUGUCAAUCUGAUGAUUGCCAAGGGAAACAUUUAAACCCCUUUUGUUAUCCAAUAAUUGGUUACUUAUAGUCUGAUUUUUAAUGCUGAAAUAGUAUUUAAAACUUUCAACAAUGGAUCUCUUGGUUCUG
rnacentral:misc_RNA from 1 species